GGGCCCGCACAAGCGGUGGAGCAUGUGGUUUAAUUCGAGGCAACGCGAAGAACCUUACCAGCCCUUGACAUGGGUAGUAUGGAUUUUGGAGACAAUUUCCUUCAGUUCGGCUGGCUACCACACAGGUGCUGCAUGGCUGUCGUCAGCUCGUGUCGUGAGAUGUUGGUUAAGUCCCGCAACGAGCGCAACCCUCAUCUUCAGUUGCUAACGCCUAGGGCGAGCACUUUGGAGAAACUGCCUGGGAUGACUAGGAGGAAGGCGAGGAUGACGUCAAGUCCUCAUGGCCCUUAUGGGCUGGGCUACACACGUGCUACAAUGGCGGUGACAACGGGAAGCAAUUGGGCAACCUU
rnacentral:rRNA from 1 species